GAUGAACGCUGGCGGCGUGCUUAACACAUGCAAGUCGAACGGAAAGGCCCAAGCUUGCUUGGGUACUCGAGUGGCGAACGGGUGAGUAACACGUGGGUGAUCUGCCCUGCACUUCGGGAUAAGCCUGGGAAACUGGGUCUAAUACCGGAUAGGACCACGUCUUGGAUGUUGUGGUGGAAAGUUUUUUCGGUGUGGGAUGAGCUCGCGGCCUAUCAGCUUGUUGGUGGGGUAAUGGCCUACCAAGGCGUCGACGGGUAGCCGGCCUGAGAGAGUGUACGGCCACAUUGGGACUGAGAUAAGGCACAGACUCCUACGGGAGGCAGAAGUGGGGAAUAUUGCACAAUGGGCGCAAGCCUGAUGCAGCGACGCCGCGUGGGGGAUGACGGCCUUCGGGUUGUAAACUCCUUUCGCUAGGGACGAAGCGUUUUUGUGACGGUACCUGGAGAAGAAGCACCGGCUAACUACGUG
rnacentral:rRNA from 1 species